rnacentral:rRNA from 1 species
CCUACGGGUGGCUGCAGUGGGGAAUAUUGGACAAUGGGCGAAAGCCUGAUCCAGCCAUGCCGCGUGUGUGAAGAAGGCCUUCGGGUUGUAAAGCACUUUCAGUGUGGAAGAAAGCCUUGGGGCUAAUACCCUCGAGGAAGGACAUCACCCACAGAAGAAGCACCGGCUAACUCCGUGCCAGCAGCCGCGGUAAUACGGAGGGUGCGAGCGUUAAUCGGAAUUACUGGGCGUAAAGCGCGCGUAGGCGGUCUGAUAAGCCGGUUGUGAAAGCCCCGGGCUCAACCUGGGAACGGCAUCCGGAACUGUCAGGCUAGAGUGCAGGAGAGGAAGGUAGAAUUCCCGGUGUAGCGGUGAAAUGCGUAGAGAUCGGGAGGAAUACCAGUGGCGAAGGCGGCCUUCUGGACUGACACUGACGCUGAGGUGCGAAAGCGUGGGUAGCAAACAGGAUUAGAUACCCGAGUAGUC